UAGAUGCGAGAGUAGAGCAUAUCAAUAAGCGGAGGAAAAGAAACUAACAAGGAUUCCCUUAGUAACGGCGAGUGAAGCGGGAAGAGCUCAAAUUUGAAAUCUUCAAGGUUCUACCUCGACGAAUUGUAGUUUAAAGAAGUGUUUUCUGUUAGAUGAGUAGCAAAAGUUCCUUGGAAUGGGACAUCAUAGAGGGUGAGAAUCCCGUAUUUGGUUAUUCAUUCUAGCUUUGUGAUACACUUUCAAAGAGUCGGAUUGUUUGGGAAUGCAGUCCAAAAUGGGUGGUAAAUUUCAUCUAAAGCUAAAUAUUGGCGAGAGACCGAUAGCGAACAAGUACCGUGAGGGAAAGAUGAAAAGAACUUUGAAAAGAGAGUUAAACAGUACGUGAAAUUGUCAAAAGGGAAGCGUUUGACACCAGUGUUGUUUUUCCGAAAAUCAAUUACGAAUGGCUUGAUUUUGUGUUGUAUUGACCUUAUCAGCUUUCUGCACUUUUUUCGAGUCUUUCUUAAUGCACUUUUCGGUUAACAAGUCAACAUCAAUUUCUUUUGUUGUAAAAGAGUAUUCGGAAGGUGGCUUUCUUUUCGGAGAAAGUGUUUAUAGCCCUAUACUUCUACAAUCGGAGAGAUUGAGGUCUGCAGCGUAGAUCCUUCGGGGUUAGAUACACUUGUGCUAAGUUGUAGCUUUUCAUAGACAACUUGUUGACUAUGUUUAGUCAUGCGGCUUACUCGCUUGUGCUAUUUUACCUACGCUUAGGAUGUUGAGCGCAUGUCUCUCUCU
rnacentral:rRNA from 1 species